CCUGUUCUUAUUCUUGGAGUCGGUUUCGUGCCUUCUAUGACAUUUCUCCUCACCACCGGUGGGUUACUUGGCAAGGCACCCCUCCCCUUGCUUGGCUAUAAAUACCCUUUUGGGGGGGGGAGGGUUUCGGGGUUGGCGAUUCAUCUUGCGAUUCGUUUGCCUCUGAAGUUUUUACAUUUUCUGGGACUAUACUUUGAUAAGAUCUCUGAGCCAACCAUCAGCGAGUCUGAACCUGCCAUUUUCAAUGAAGCAUUGACAAGUUUGUCUGAUGAUACGGGGCUUCACCCUCUAAUCCUUUUUUUCGUACUUCAUUUCAGAUGAGACUUGGGCCAAUUUGCAGAGAAAUCUCUAAGCUCCCAAUGAUUAUUUGCAACACUAUUCCCUAACUUCUUAGCAACGAAGGCAUCAGCUGAUGCAGCUGCAGUGUAAAGAUAACUCACAUAAUCAUAAUAAUUGAUAGUU